GGUUCAGGAUGAACGCUGGCGGCGUGCUUAACACAUGCAAGUCGAACGAAGCACUGAAGAAUGGAGAUUCGUCAAAGUUCUUCUUUGACUGAGUGGCGAACGGGUGAGUAAUGCGUGAGCAACCUGCCCUUCAGAGGGGGACAACAGUUGGAAACGACUGCUAAUACCGCAUGACGUGUUCGGGAGGCAUCUCUUGGAUACCAAAGGAGAAAUCCGCUGAAGGAUGGGCUCACGUCUGAUUAGCUAGUUGGCGGGGCAACGGCCCACCAAGGCGACGAUCAGUAGCCGGACUGAGAGGUUGAACGGCCACAUUGGGACUGAGAUACGGCCCAGACUCCUACGGGAGGCAGCAGUGGGGAAUAUUGGGCAAUGGGCGAAAAAGCCUGACCCAGCAACGCCGCGUGAAGGAAGAAGGCCUUCGGGUUGUAAACUUCUUUUAACAGGGACGAAGAAGUGACGGUACCUGUUGAAUAAGCCACGGCUAACUACGUGCCAGCCGCUGC
rnacentral:rRNA from 1 species